rnacentral:rRNA from 1 species
UCCGGUGGUUCUGAAUGGAAGGGCCAUCGCUCAACGGAUAAAAGGUACUCCGGGGAUAACAGGCUGAUACCGCCCAAGAGUUCAUAUCGACGGCGGUGUUUGGCACCUCGAUGUCGGCUCAUCACAUCCUGGGGCUGAAGUAGGUCCCAAGGGUAUGGCUGUUCGCCAUUUAAAGUGGUACGCGAGCUGGGUUUAGAACGUCGUGAGACAGUUCGGUCCCUAUCUGCCGUGGGCGCUGGAGAACUGAGGGGGGCUGCUCCUAGUACGAGAGGACCGGAGUGGACGCAUCACUGGUGUUCGGGUUGUCAUGCCAAUGGCACUGCCCGGUAGCUAAAUGCGGAAGAGAUAAGUGCUGAAAGCAUCUAAGCACGAAACUUGCCCCGAGAUGAGUUCUCCCUGAGACUUAAAGUCUCCUGAAGGAACGUUGAAGACGACGACGUUGAUAGGCCGGGUGUGUAAGCGCAGCGAUGCGUUGAGCUAACCGGUACUAAUGAACCGUGAGGCUUAACCUUACAACGCCGAAG